AGUCGUAACAAGGUUUCCGUAGGUGAACCUGCGGAAGGAUCAUUAGUGAAUAUAGGACGUCCAACUUAACUUGGAGUCCGAACUCUCACUUUCUAACCCUGUGCAUUUGUUUGGGAUAGUAGCCUCUCGGGGUGAACUCCUAUUCACUUAUAAACACAAAGUCUAUGAAUGUAUUUAAUUUAUAACAAAAUAAAACUUUCAACAACGGAUCUCUUGGCUCUCGCAUCGAUGAAGAACGCAGCGAAAUGCGAUAAGUAAUGUGAAUUGCAGAAUUCAGUGAAUCAUCGAAUCUUUGAACGCACCUUGCGCUCCAUGGUAUUCCGUGGAGCAUGCCUGUUUGAGUGUCAUGAAUACUUCAACCCUCCUCUUUUCUAGUGAAAGAGAAGGUGCUUGGUUUCUGAGCGUUUUGCUGGCCUCACGGUCGAGCUCGCUCGUAAUGCAUUAGCAUCCGCAAUCGAACUUCGGAUUGACUUGGCGUAAUAGACUAUUCGCUGAGGAAUUCUAAUCUUCGGAUUAGAGCCGGGUUGGGUUAAAGGAAGCUUCUAAUCCUAACGUCUAUAUUUUUAGAUUAGAUCUCAAAUCAGGUAGGACUACCCGCUGAACUUAAGCAUAUCAAUAGUAAAAGUCG
rnacentral:rRNA from 1 species